rnacentral:Y_RNA from 1 species
AGCUGGUUUGAAGGUAGUGAGUUAAAUCAGUUGAUUGUUCACAGUCAACACAGUCAAUUACAGAUCAAUUUCCUUGUUCUACUCUUUCCCCCUUCUUACUACUGCACUUGACUAAUCCUAA